AAUAUUGGACAAUGGGCGAAAGCCUGAUCCAGCCAUCCCGCGUGUAUGAAGAAGGCCUUCGGAUUGUAAAGUACUUUAGGCUGGGAGGAAGAGCAGUCAGUUAAUACCUGACAGUUCUGACGGUACCGACAGAAUAAGCACCGGCUAACUUCGUGCCAGCAGCCGCGGUAAUACGAAGGGUGCAAGCGUUAAUCGGAAUUACUGGGCGUAAAGCGCGCGUAGGUGGUUUGUUAAGUUGGAAGUGAAAGCCCCGGGCUCAACCUUGGAACUGCUUUUAAAACUGGCAAGCUAGAGUAUGGCAGAGGGUGGUAGAAUUUCCUGUGUAGCAGUGAAAUGCGUAGAUAUAGGAAGGAACACCAGUGGCGAAGGCAACCACCUGGGAUAAUACUGACGCUGAGAUGCGAAAGCGUGGGGAGCAAACA
rnacentral:rRNA from 1 species